rnacentral:rRNA from 1 species
GAGUUUGAUCGUGGCUCAGGAUGAACGCUGGCGGCGUGCCUAAUACAUGCAAGUCGAACGAACAGAUAAGGAGCUUGCUCCUUUGACGUUAGCGGCGGACGGGUGAGUAACACGUGGGUAACCUACCUAUAAGACUGGGAAUAACUCCGGGAAACCGGGGCUAAUGCCGGAUAACAUGUUGAACCGCAUGGUUCUACAGUGAAAGACGGUCUUGCUGUCACUUAUAGAUGGACCCGCGCCGUAUUAGCUAGUUGGUGGGGUAACGGCCUACCAAGGCGACGAUACGUAGCCGACCUGAGAGGGUGAUCGGCCACACUGGAACUGAGACACGGUCCAGACUCCUACGGGAGGCAGCAGUAGGGAAUCUUCCGCAAUGGGCGAAAGCCUGACGGAGCAACGCCGCGUGAGUGAUGAAGGUCUUCGGAUCGUAAAGCUCUGUUGUUAGGGAAGAACAAAUGUGUAAGUAACUGUGCAUAUCUUGACGGUACCUAACCAGAAAGCCACGGCUAACUACAUGCCAGCCGCCGCCGUAAAACC